CUUUUUUUUUUUUUUUUUUUUUUUUGUCUUUGUCCUUUUAGGGCCGCACCGGUGGCAUAUGGUGGUUCCCAGGCUGGGGGAUUCUAAUCAGAGCUAUUGCUGCCAGCGUACGCCAGAGCCACAGCAACACCAGAUCCGAGCCGCAUCUGCAGCCUACAUCACAGCUCAUGGCAAUGCCAGAUCCUUAACCCACUAAGCAAGGCCAGAGAUCGAACCCGCAAUCUCAUGGUUCCUAGUUGGAUUUGCUUCUGCUGCGCCACAAGGGGUACUCUGGUGCUACCAUUUUAAUCAUUAUAUUAUAACAGGAAUAUGUGAUUAUUACAGACUAUAUUGAACAGCCCUCCACCUAAUAUCACAACUCCAAGCAGUUAACGAGAAGCUGAAACUUAAACAAACAUAAAUACAAGAGAGGACUUUCAUUUUUAGUUUUCUCAGUUUGUCGAUCUGUCUUCAUUAACUCAUUGAACAUAAAUUGGAAUUAUGUACCAAGUGUUACCCAGAAUGCAAAGCAAAAACUGUCCUUAAAGAAAACGUAAAAUCUAGCAGGAAACAUAAGGCAAAUAACUAAAUAACAAAUGUAAAUGCAGGAAAUACUAAGGCUUUUAGAGAGUAUGUGCUGUGAUACUGCAGAAAAAGGAAAAAUGACUUCCAGCUGAGGACAGCAAAGCCUGCUUCACAGAGGAGGUAACAAUUGAGAUGGGUCUCUCCUGAGGAAUGAGUAGGUUCCGAGUAAGUAAAGUGAAAGUAAUGGGAAAGGGCACAGAGUUUGUUUGCAACAACGGUUUCCCUGCUUUUGAAUCUUUCAUUACCUUUUGGCAUGGUACGGCUAGCUACUACCAUCUGCUUUGUAGCAUUCUGCGAGGUAAGGAAACAUCUUAACUUUUCAUUUCUUUGGCAGUGGUAGUGACAGAAAGGGCGGUCCUAGGCUGCAAAAACCAGGUGUUUCCUUCCCCAUACUGUUGCACAGUCCAAGUAGCACCAGAAAAAGGAAUAUAACCUUAAUAUGGUUUUACCAUAAUUCUUUGGGAGCAACUGGUCUUACCACAUUUGGUAAAUAUGCUUUAUUUAAAAUGUUAAUUUAAGAAGUUCCCUGGUGGCCUAGUGAUUAAGGAUUUACCACUGUCACUGCAGCUAGGGUUCAAUCCCAGGCCCGGGAAUUUUCACAGGUUGUAGAUGUGGCCAAGAAAACAAAAAAUCAAAUGUUAGUUUACAUUUGUGCUUUAGUAAUAAACCAUGUUUAAGAGAACUAUAGAAAAGACUGUAUACCUGUAUAUAACUUGACUUUCUUUUCAAGUGUUUUCUUCUAUUACCAUUUAGGUGAAAAUAUAAUGCAAUGGUUAAAAAACAACAACAACAAAAAAAAAAAAAACACAAAAAAAACCCACGAACUCUUAACUGCCAAAAUAGUCUUUUCACAAAUCCAUGCAAACCAAAACUAAAGACAGCAGGACCAAUACUAUCCAAAAGCAAGAUAAACAGUGCUUUAAGACAGCUGUCGGAGCUAAAAGACCUGGAGCUAAAAGGUCACUAACUGGGAAUCUUAUGUGAGUCUGUAGUUCUCCACCUAAUUCACCUGGUUUUCAGUUUCAUUGAGUUCAACCUCUACCCAGUAUCACAAGUCUGAGCAACGAACAAGAAACCGUAACUUAAAACACACAUAUAAGAAAGCACUUUGGUUUAAUUCCUCUUCCUAACUUGAAUACAGAAUUAAAAAAGAAAAAAGAAAGAGCACACAUCACAAAAUGAACACUAAAUAUACCUACCACUGAUAGAAAAUACAAAACAUAAGUAUUUUACAUUGACAUGUAAACUUACAAAGCUUAUGUGGAAAGAACAAAGACUUCAUUAUAAUACCAUUAAAUAUCAUCACAUUCAAAAUUCUGUUCUGGAUAUUCAUUUUUGGUAAAUGCUUUUCAACUUCUUUCUUGUGCUUUGCUAAGGAUAAUAAGGAUUAUUACUCUCAUUUCAAAGACAUUCCAUGUUACUAAUCGUCUCUUUAAAAUAAAAAUUAGCAACUUAGUUAAAAGGAACUGAAUACUUCAACAUUAUAUAAAAAUAUUGACUGCAAGAAUUCAAUUCUCUUAAAAGAAUCUGGGGGACUUAAUUCGCCACUCUAACCUAACAAUUAAAAAGCUGAACAAACUGAAAAACAACUCUUCUUGGACCCAAGAGAGGUGAGGACCCAAGGCAAACCACUGCCCCCAAGGCUGGAGAAAGAGACUAGGGAAUACACUCAGUCACAACUUACCUCAGCAGAGACUCAUGAGUCAAAACCAUGGGAACCAGUGCCAGAGUAGAAAAACCUCAACUGUAACUGACUGACUUGCAGGAUGCUCAGUGUGGACAAGUCUGAGAGUUAAGAACCCCAGGAGUACCAGUCAUAAGGGGACCCUCACAUUUUCAUUAGUUUUACCUCCAAGAGCAUAAAUAGGUUCCACAGUAAACAUCAGAGGAAAAACCCCUUGUGCUUCCAAGCAGGAGGAGGGGGAGGAAAGGAACCAUUUUGAAAUAAGCCAGAGCACUCUGCUCUUAACAAGACCUGCCCUCAGGGAAAAUUCAUUAACCACAUCCUAACCUGCUGGGAUACUAAGGGCCUAAUUGGCCUGGAAUAACCCAACUCCAGCCCACUUUAGUCAUCCUAUCCCACCUAAGGGGGUGAAGAAAACUGAAAAAAACCUGCAAAGUUCACAGUCCUGAGGCCCAGGUUCACUAAAGACUAAGACCAAAUGAUAGGACUAUAGACUGCUUCCCUUCCCCCGCCCCACACCUCACUACCACAGUACUAAAGUCCUAUUUACAGCAGUUUCUUUUACCCAGUACACUACGUCCAACUAUCAAGAAAAAAACUUAAAAAUGUACCAAAAGGCAAAAAAGCACAGUUUGAAGAGACAAAGUAAGCAUCAGAACCAUACACAGCAUAGAUAGAUGUUGGAAUUAUCAAACCAGGAGUUUCAAACAGUUAUGAUUAAUAUGCUAUUAGUUCUAGUGGACAAAGUAGACAGCAUGUAAAAACAGAUGGCAAUAUAAGUAGAGAUGGAAAUCCUAAGAAAGAACCUCCCUCAAAAAAAUGCUAGAGAUUAAAAAAAAAAAAAAAAAAAAAGCACCUCCCACAAUGUAACAGAAAUGAAGAAUGCCUUUGAUAGGCUUACUAGUAGAUAGGACACAGCUGAGGAAAGGAUCUCUGAGCUUGAAGAUAUAUCAGGACAAACCUUCAAAACUGAAAAGCUCUCUUUGAAAAAAGAGCAGAACAGAAUAUCCAAGGACUGUGGACAACUAGGAAAGGCUAACAAACAUGUAAUGGGGAUACUAGAAGGAGAAGAAAGAAAGGAACAGAGGAAAUAUUUGCAACAAUGAGAAUUUCCCAAAAUUAAUGUCAAACACCAAAUAACAGACUCAGCAAACUCAGAGAAAACUAGGCCAGAUGAAUGCCAAAAAAAAAAAAAAAAAAAAAAUCACUAUUCCUAGGCAUAUCAUUUUCAAGCUAAAGAAAAUCAAAGGAAAAAAAUCCUCAAAGAAGCCAAAGGAGAAAAAAUAAUAAUUUGUUGAACUAGCCUCCUUAACUAUGCUUCUUAUUCUUCAACAGUAAUGUUACUGUUUUCCAAUACACGUUUUGUUGUUUUAACCAUUCGUUUUUUAAUCUUUUAAUUUAUAUAUGAUAAAAUUGGAGUUCCCAUCGUGGCUCAGUGGUUAAUGAAUCCAACUAGGAAACAUGAGGUUGUGGGUUCGAUCCGUGGCUUUGCUCAGUGGGUUAAGGAUCCAGCAUUGCCAUGAGCAGUGGUGUAGGUUGCAGACGCAACUUGGAUCCUGCGUUGCUGUGGCUGUGGUGUAGGCCGGCAGCUACAGCUCUGAUUGGAUUCCUAGCCUGGGAUCCUCCAUAUGCCACAAGUGCGGCUCCAGAAAAAGACCAAAAGAAAAAAAAAAAUGUAUAGUAUAAUGGGUUUUGAAAAAUGCACAGAGCUGUGUACCUACCAACCGGUAUCAUAACAAAAAUAUUCCUUUGUUUUGUCCUUUUGUAAUCAACCCCUCCUCCACUUUCAGUCUCUGGCAACCACUAAUCUGUUCCUCAUCCCCUAUAGUUUUGGCUUUUUGAGAAUGUCAUAUAAAUGGAAUCAUACCAUAUUUAGCCUUUAGGGGUUCACUGAGCUUUAUGAAUAUGUAAAUGUAUGUCUUCCAUCGAACUUGGGAGUUAUCAGCCAUUAUUUCUUCAAAUUUUUUUUCUGCACAAAUCUCUUUGUCUUCUCCUCUAGGACACUUAAGACACAAAUGUUAGACCUUUGCUAUUGUCCUUCAGAUCCUUAAUCUCUGUUCAUUUCCUCUAGUCUUUCUCUCCUUAUUGUUCAGAUUGUACAACUACUAUCAUGCUUCCUUCAACUUCACUUUUCUUUCUUUCAACUUCACUUUUUUUCACAUCUUUCCAAGUGAAGAUAAUUAUCACUCUGCUGUUGAAAUCAUCUAAUGAAUUUUUACUUCCUUUUUAACAUUUAAUAUUAAUAUUGCAGUUAUUUUAAUUUUCUGUUCCCAAAUUUCAAUUUGGUCCUUUUUAUGGUUUCUUUUUCUUGGCUGAGAACUUCAAUCUUUCUAUUCAUUUCAAAAGUAUUUACAGGGGAGUUUCCUCAUGGUUCAGUGGGUUAAAGAUCUGGCAUUGUCACCACUUUGCCUCUGAUUAUAGUUGUGGCGCAGGUUCAAUACCUGGCCUGGGAAUUUCUGCAUGUUGUGGGUGUGAAAGUGUUUACAUAUUAUAAUAGCUACAAUGAGAACUUUUUAUUGUAAUUUCAACAUCAAGGUCAUCAUAGAGUUGGUGCCUGUUGAUUGCUGUUUUUCCUACACUUGGUUAUGAUUUCCUAGUCCUCAGUAUGUUAAAUACUUUUUUUUUUUUUUUUGUCUAAUUAGGCCCGUACCCAUGGCACAUGGAGAUUCCCAGGCUGGGGGCUGAAAUGGAACAACAAGCCACUGGCCUAUGCCACAGCCACAGCAACACCAGAUCUGAGCCGUGUCUGUAACUUACACCACAGCUCAGGGUAAUGCCAGAUCCUUAAUCCACUGAGCGAGGGCAAGGAUUGAACCUGAAACUCAUGGAUACAAGUCAGAUUCAUUUCUGCUGAGCCAUGGCAGGAACUCCAAUGUUAACUACUUUUGGGGGGUUUUUUGGUUUGUUUUUGUUUGUUUGUUUGUUUGUUUUGUCUUUUUGCCAUUUCUUGGGUUCUAACCACAAAUCCCAACCCACUCUCUGUGGGCUGUGAUUUCAGUAUCAUCUUCAGUUUUGCAAGACUUUUCAGGGCUCUUCCAUCUCUCCCCACGUGUGCUACCCAAGGGCAGCGGUUUAUGCUAUAGUUCAGCUCUCAAAGCCUUUAUUUUUCCUCAACUAAGUUCCCCAGAUGCUCAGAGUGAAUUUCAGGCUUCAGACACAGAUUUAGGUCAUUUCUUUCUCUAUCUCCUGCCCUUCUAUGUUCUUCCCCACAGUCUGUUUCCCACAUCCCUUUUCUCAAUCUUCUGCCUACAAUGGGUUUUCUGGUUCCCCAUUAGGUUGCAUAUUUCCUACAAUUACAUCUGUCUCAGGAGUGAAGUGGCAGCAAAAAGAAGAAAGCAAAAAAUAAUAAAUAUUCUCUCUACACUCUUUGGUACAGGGGCUCCUUUUUCCAGUUUCUCUGGUCAAAGAGGAAAGUUCUCUUUCAGAGUUUUAAAGGGCUUCAGAAUGCCACUGCCACGAGUACCGCCACAGCUGGAGGACUGCCUCAUGACUAGGGCCCGUCCGCUCUCCCACCAGAAGAAUAAAACCAAAAUACAGCAAAAGAAGAUGGUGAUUUUCUGCAGUCUCCUUUAUGCAGGGGCCCUCCCUUUGCAAUUCUCUGGCCAUACACAGAGGAAGAAGGGGAUUCUCUUAGAGCUUUU
rnacentral:lncRNA from 1 species